rnacentral:rRNA from 1 species
AGCAGUGGGNNAUAUUGCACAAUGGGCGGAAGCCUGAUGCAGCAACGCCGCGUGAGGGAUGACGGCCUUCGGGUUGUAAACCUCNUUUAGCAGGGAAGAAGCGAGAGUGACGGUACCUGCAGAAAAAGCGCCGGCUAACUACGUGCCAGCAGCCGCGGUAAUACGUAGGGCGCAAGCGUUAUCCGGAAUUAUUGGGCGUAAAGAGCUCGUAGGCGGUUUGUCGCGUCUGCUGUGAAAUCCGGAGGCUCAACCUCCGGCCUGCAGUGGGUACGGGCAGACUAGAGUGCGGUAGGGGAGAUUGGAAUUCCUGGUGUAGCGGUGGAAUGCGCAGAUAUCAGGAGGAACACCGAUGGCGAAGGCAGAUCUCUGGGCCGUAACUGACGCUGAGGAGCGAAAGGGUGGGGAGCAAACAGGCUUAGAUACCCUGGUAGUCCACCCCGUAAACGUUGGGAACUAGUUGUGGGGUCCAUUCCACGGAUUCCGUGACGCAGCUAACGCAUUAAGUUCCCCGCCUGGGGAGUACGGCCGCAAGGCUAAAACUCAAAGGAAUUGACGGGGACCCGCACAAGCGGCGGAGCAUGCGGAUUAAUUCGAUGCAACGCGAAGAACCUUACCAAGGCUUGACAUAUACGAGAACGGGCCAGAAAUGGUCAACUCUUUGGACACUCGUAAACAGGUGGUGCAUGGUUGUCGUCAGCUCGUGUCGUGAGAUGUUGGGUUAAGUCCCGCAACGAGCGCAACCCUCGUUCUAUGUUGCCAGCACGUAAUGGUGGGAACUCAUGGGAUACUGCCGGGGUCAACUCGGAGGA